rnacentral:rRNA from 1 species
AGGCAUGCAAGUCGAACGGGAUCGUCUGGAUAGCAAUAUUCGGGCGUGAGAGUGGCGGAUGGGGAGGAGCACGUGAGCAACCUGCCCUGGAGAUGUGGAAAACCUCUGGAAACGGAGGGCUAAUACAGAAUGUGGCGCCCCAUGGCAUCAUGGGAGCGCCGAAGGGGGCCGCAAGGCUCCCGCUCCGGGAUGGGCUCGCGCACCAUCAGCUAGUUGGCGGGGUAACGGCCCACCAAGGCCUACGGUUAGCUGGUCUGAGAGGAUGACCAGCCCCACUGGGACUGAGAUACUGCCCAGACCCCUACGGGAGGCUGCAGUCGAGGAUCAUUCGCAAUGGACGGAAGUCUGACGAUGCGACGCUGCGUGGAGGAUGAAGGCCUUCGGGUCGUAAACUCCUGUCAUGAGGGAAGAGGCGAGGGAAGCUAAUACCUUCUUUAGUUGACUGUACCUCAAGAGGAAGCGACGGCUAACUCUGUGCCAGCCGCUGC